UUAAGAUAUAUGUGGUACAGGAUUAGAUACCCCAUUAAUACUAUUAAUAAUAUGUCUUAGUUUUAUAACUAAAAUAAUUUGGCAGUGAGCGAUUCUUUUUAGGGGAAGGUGUGGUGUAAAGGAUGAUCCGCCUAAUAAUUUACUUUUAUUAUAUUGGUGUAUAUCUGGUUUAAUAUUAUUGCUGAAUGGCAGAAGUUGUGUAGUGUUAUUUAAGCCAAGUCUAUGUGCUGUUUAUAAAAGUAUUCAUGCGUUACAUUAAUAAGUAUUUAAUUGUAAUAUUAGAUGAUUUAGGACUUAAAAGUAAUGUUUAAUUAAUUAGUAAAUGUGAAAUAAGUUUAGCUCAGGUACACACCGCCCGUCACCCUCGGUU
rnacentral:rRNA from 1 species